AUACUUAGGGUGCAAGCGUUAAUCGGAAUUACUGGGCGUAAAGCGCUCGUAGGCGGCUUGUUAAGUCGGAUGUGAAAUCCCCGGGCUCAACCUGGGAACUGCAUUCGAUACUGGCAGGCUAGAGUAUAGUAGAGGCAAGUGGAAUUCCGGGUGUAGCGGUGAAAUGCGUAGAUAUCCGGAGGAACAUCAGUGGCGAAGGCGACUUGCUGGACUAAUACUGACGCUGAGGAGCGAAAGCGUGGGGAGCAAACGGGAUUAGAAACCCCAGUAGUCC
rnacentral:rRNA from 1 species